rnacentral:rRNA from 2 species
AACGAUGGAUAUCUUGGUUCCCAUAACGAUGAAGAACGCAGCGAAGUGCGAUAAGCAAUGCGAAUUGCAGAACCGUGAGUCAUCAGAUUUUUGAACGCAAUUGGCGCC